GAAUAGGAACGCAACGUGCAACGUGACGACAGGGAUAUAAACAUAGUGACAAUCGACUUGAAGGCGUUGAAGCCCGUAUAAUAAAAUAAAAUUGAUAGUCAAAGUAGUAGUACUGUCACACUGCGUUCUCUGUCGGUUAUAGUUCAGAACUUAUCAUCUAGGUGGAGAAUCAUUCAAUGAUAGAAGUCACUGGGUGUUUUUAAGAAACAUCAUCAAUCUUCAUUUUGAGCUGGCAACAUUUUAUCAAUCCAUGAUAAUUACUGGAACAAACGAUCUAAGUUGCUGCGUAUAGUGUUGGGGUGAUGAAUCCAAUCCUUCAUUUAAGUCCCUGGGUAUAGUUAUCGACUAGGGCUGAUAAGUAGACUUUGUUACCAGCACAACAACACUCAUUUCUACCAUCACUCUAAAGUUAUAAAGAUAGAAGAUCAUUGAAUGAUAGCUGGGUCAUUCCAUCCCAACUCGAAUUUUUUCGUCGCGGAAAAAAAUAGAAAUGUCUGAUUUUUUACAGUGUGUUCCUGAUACAUCAAUUAUGCACUGUGUAAAAUAUCAGAUUUUUAAAAACAAACUG